ensembl:lncRNA
GGCUGGCAGACAGUAAAGGUUACGCCCUCCUUCCACUGACUUAGAAGCUCUCUGAAGACAGAAGGAGCUUUGCCUUAUCAUCCAGAAGCUAAAAGAAGACUAGAGCUAUUACAUGAAAACAGAAAUGUGCUGUUUAGCAAGGCAACACACAGCUCCAGAGACAGAGCCAUGAGCGCAACUCUAUCCCAUUUGGGUCCAGGGAAGCAAAGAGAUUAGGAAUCAAUAUUCAGGUGCAGGUGGGCUCAGGAAUCAGCAGAUUGCUGCGGAAAUGGGUCCCCAGAGGGUGCCUGCUUAGUAGACUUUCAGCUCCUGUAAAGGCGAUCAGCCUUCAUCCUGAGGAGAGGCUGGGGCCCUUGCUGUUCCAGUAAGGCAGUCUCAGCCUUUUGACACAGAAUCUGUCUCUUUGCCUUACAUUUCUUAGAAAGAUGUCUGGUCCAUUUGGAGCACACCUGUGUAGAAGGUGAGAGAUAGAGAUUUGGCUUCAUUAUUUUGCUUGUGGAUUCACAGUUAUUCUAGAACUGUUUGUUGAAGAGCCUAUUUCUCUAUAUUUUUGGUAUCUUUGUCAAAAAUCAGGUGUCUGUAGCGUGGGGAGUUCUGUGCUGGUUCCAUCCUGUGUUUGUUACUAUAGGUGAGCAGGAAUUCUUGACUCUCAUAAAACAUAGCUUGGCUGCUUGCCUGUGGAGGGUACAGGUGAGCCCUGAGAACUCACUGAAACCCUGGUUUUCUUUCAUUAUUUUUGUUUUUUGUUUUUUUUGAGUCAGGGUUUCUUUGUGUAACUUUAGAGGCUGCCCUAGAACUCAUUCUGUAGACCAGGCUGGCCUCGAACUCAGAGAUCCACCUGCCUCUGCCUCCCAAGUGCUGGGAUUAAAGGCAUGCACCACCACCGCCUGACUGCAAUGCUGGUUUUCUUAUUAUAAAUUGAUAAUCAUGCCUGUAGUGGACAUGAGUAUGAAUGAUGUGUAGUGUUGAAUAGCUGGCAGUAUGCUAUACCGACAAGUCACUGUCUUUGAUUCUUUCUCUGUAAAUGGGAACAAAAGGCCAUAUUUUGUGGUUACAAAAGUCACCGCAAAGGGUCAUGAGAAUUAGAGAGUAAUGAGAAUUAGUGAGGAGAUGGACAGGGUAACAGCAAUGGUGACACACACUGAAGCUAGAUAGCAGACAGGAACACAGGAAAAUGAACAUGGCCGGAAAUACACGUUCAGGAUGUUUUUUUUAAUUGUCAAAAGAUGAGAAUGCAUUGAAAAAAAAUAUUUUUUUAUACUGACAUGCAGCCUUGAGGUUUUCAUUACAAAGCCGAGGAGGAGGGUCCUCUCUGUAUUCACUGCUUGCAGACAAUGCCCCUUACCUGGAAUAGGUUUUGUUGGCAGGACUGGAGCAUGAUGUGAGGGAAGGGGCUAAAAACAGGAAUCACUGGCUACUGGACACAGUUAAAACCUAAGAAACAAGUUCUACUUUGUAUCUUGAAUAAUGGCAUUUGUGAAUGAUCUUAGCAAAUUUUGUUAAAUUAAUACCUAUUCUUGCCAUUGGAAACCAUCACAAAGAAAUUGGCUUAAAGAAAUCAUAUAAGUAGGGGAGAGAGAGAACUGGGGUUGGUAUGUAAAAUGAAAACCAAAUUUUUUAAAAUAAAAAACUAUAUAGAUAGCAGGAGAAACACAC